rnacentral:rRNA from 1 species
CAGCAGCCGCGGUAAUACGAAGGGGGCUAGCGUUGUUCGGAUUUACUGGGCGUAAAGCGCACGUAGGCGGAUCGAUCAGUCAGGGGUGAAAUCCCAGAGCUCAACUCUGGAACUGCCUUUGAUACUGUCGAUCUGGAGUAUGGAAGAGGUGAGUGGAAUUCCGAGUGUAGAGGUGAAAUUCGUAGAUAUUCGGAGGAACACCAGUGGCGAAGGCGGCUCACUGGUCCAUUACUGACGCUGAGGUGCGAAAGCGUGGGGAGCAAACAGGAUUAGAUACCCCAGUAGUCCCUGUCUCUUAUAC